CUUUGAACUGUUGUUACUUGAUACAUGCAGGACAACUGAAAAGAAAGACAAUGGCUACGUGGAUUAGAACAUAACAGCGUCCAGUAAUGCAGCGUGCCCAUGUGUGAAAUGAAGCAGGAGUGGCAUAGUGCACUCCGAGCUGUGCAGUGAAAAACAGGCGUGGACAGCCACAGGAAGGAUGGAGCUUCAGGCCACAUUAAGCUGUCACCCCUAAUCCUUCUGUCCCCACGUCCUGUGCAACCACUCAUCUACUUUCUGUCUGGAUCAUUUCCUGUUUCGGAAAUUUCACAUGUUCAAUAGGAAGCCCCAAAUGUUUGUUGCUAGUUGUUAUGCGUGGCUCAGAGCAGAACAGCUUGUCUGAGCUCCCGGCCCAGAAUACUGCAGUGUGAAAAUAGGCCACAGGCAUCAAAUUC